rnacentral:rRNA from 1 species
GACGAACGCUGGCGGCGUGCUUAACACAUGCAAGUCGAACGAUGAACCCGGAGCUUGCUCCGGCGGAUUAGUGGCGAACGGGUGAGUAACACGUGAGUAACCUGCCCUUGACUUUGGGAUAACUGCCAGAAAUGGUAGCUAAUACCGGAUAUGACCCUCGGUGGCCUCACCCGGGGGUGGAAAGACUUUCGGUCACGGAUGGACUCGCGGCCUAUCACCUAGUUGGGGAGUUAACGGCUCACCAAGGCGACAACGGGUAGCCGGCCUGAGAGGGUGACCGGCCACACAGGGACUGAGACACGGCCCAGACUCCUACGGGAGGCAGCAGUGGGGAAUAUUGCACAAUGGGCGCAAGCCUGAUGCAGCAACGCCGCGUGAGGGAUGACGGCCUUCGGGUUGUAAACCUCUUUUAGUAGGGAAGAAGCGAAAGUGACGGUACCUGCAGAAAAAGCACCGGCUAACUACGUGCCAGCAGCCGCGGUAA